CCUAGCACAAAUCAGAAUGGAACCACAACAAUUAACGGUAAAAUCCAGCAAUUGACACACACAAAAUUUGAGUUAGCUGACCUGGAAAUUUAGAUGCAAAUAAGCCAAAAAAACACCGUUCAGCUCAAACCUUAAGAGAUCCCACCACGAAUCAGAAUGAAACUGUAACAAUCAAUAGUAAAAUACAGCAACCCAUUUAAUUUUAAAAAAAAAAAAAGAAAAAAGGUUGAGCGAACUGACCUGGAAAUUGAGAUGCAAUGAAAUCCGAGAAAAAUAUUAGCAGAAGCAAAGAGAAAUGUACAGGUUUGACAAUUGAAUUAUGAGUGAGAGAAAUAUUGAGAGAGUGAAAGGACAAGGAGAAAGAUGUGAGAGAG
rnacentral:lncRNA from 1 species